UGCUGUGCCGACCGAGAAACCUAGCAAUCACAGAUAGCAUAGCCACACCAUUUUACAAGGGAAACUCAAUGGUAAUACUUAGGUGACUUUUAAACUUGGAACAAGAAAAGGAAUUAGAAAGAAGCAGAUGCAGAUGAGACUAGCAAUAUAAAUAUGCAAAUUGAAAUGGUCCCUAGUCAGCGACACAGUGCCUACCUCUAAUGGACCUCGUAGAAAGUCUGUUUGCUCAGCUCCUAUUUCGAGAGCUACAUCCACAGAAGCAAAAGGACGGCUGGCCAUCUGCUGUCGUUCUCGCAAAAGUUGCUGAGGAAAGAAAAAAAAUGAAGUAUUAGAAAUUUCAGUGGUGGAAGAGGAAUUAGAAGAGAAGAUGACAAAUUAAUUGUUUAGCAGCAAAAGUAACCAUAAUAAAAGGAGAAGAUGGCAUGGAUUGAAUGGAAAAUCAUCGUAGUUCUAAUACGGUUUUUCUUCUAGAAAUCCCAAAUCUUAUAGAUGACAGAAAUCCUGUGUGACAAAAUUUGGUGACUUAACAACACUGGUAUAAUGUGAUAAGAUCAAUAUCAAGAGUCAGAAUCUUGAAAAAGUGAUCGUGCUUACCUAUAAAAAUUGUUGAAAACUUCUUUUAAUCAAAAUAAAUUGUGGUCACUUUCUUUUGCUCUGUUAA